GAGUAACACGUGAGUAACCUGCCCCCUUCUUCGGGAUAACGUUCGGAAACGGAUGCUAAUACCGGGUAUUUACCUCAUGUCGCAUGGUGUGGGGUGGAAAGGUUUUUUCUGGUGGGGGAUGGGCUCGCGGCCUAUCAGCUUGUUGGUGGGGUGAUGGCCUACCAAGGCUUUGACGGGUAACCGGCCUGAGAGGGUGACCGGUCACAUUGGGACUGAGAUACGGCCCAGACUCCUACGGGAGGCAGCAGUGGGGAAUUUUGCACAAUGGGCGAAAGCCUGAUGCAGCGACGCCGCGUGAGGGAUGACGGCCUUCGGGUUGUAAACCUCUUUCGCUCAUGGUCAAGGCUAGUUUUUGUUCUAGUUGAGGGUAGUGGGUAAAGAAGCGCCGGCUAACUACGUGCCAGCAGCCGCGGUAAUACGUAGGGCGCGAGCGUUGUCCGGAAUUAUUGGGCGUAAAGGGCUUGUAGGCGGCUUGUCGCGU
rnacentral:rRNA from 1 species